rnacentral:rRNA from 1 species
UGGGUUUGACAUAUAGGUUGUAGGGAACUGAAAAGGGACCGACCCUUCGGGGAGCCUAUACAGGUGUUGCAUGGCUGUCGUCAGCUCGUGUCGUGAGAUGUUCGGUUAAGUCCGCUAACGAGCGCAACCCUCGUCGUAUGUUAUAUGUGUCAUACGAGACUGCCGGUAAAAAGCCGGAGGAAGGUGAGGAUGAUGUCAAGUCAGCAUGACCUUUAUAUCCAGGGCUACACACACGCUACAAUGGUCUGUACAAUGGGUAGCCAAGCCGCGAGGCGGAGCCAAUCCUGAAAGCAGGCCUCAGUUCAGAUUGUAGGCUGCAACUCGCCUGCAUGAAGAUGGAGUUGCUAGUAACCGCAGGUCAGCAAUACUGCGGUGAAUACGUUCCCGGGUCUU